rnacentral:tRNA from 2 species
GGCCCCAUCGUCUAGAGGUCUAGGACGUCGCCCUCUCACGGCGGUAGCGCGGGUUCGAAUCCCGCUGGGGUCA